AUUGAACGCUGGCGGCAGGCUUAACACAUGCAAGUCGAGCGGAAACGAUGRUAGCUUGCUAYCAGGCGUCGAGCGGCGGACGGGUGAGUAAUACUUAGGAAUCUACCUAGUAGUGGGGGAUAGCUCGGGGAAACUCGAAUUAAUACCGCAUACGACCUACGGGAGAAAGGGGGCARYUURYUGCUCUCGCUAUUAGAUGAGCCUAAGUCGGAUUAGCUAGAUGGUGGGGUAAAGGCCUACCAUGGCGACGAUCUGUAGCUGGUCUGAGAGGAUGAUCAGCCACACCGGGACUGAGACACGGCCCGGACUCCUACGGGAGGCAGCAGUGGGGAAUAUUGGACAAUGGGGGCAACCCUGAUCCAGCCAUGCCGCGUGUGUGAAGAAGGCCUUUUGGUUGUAAAGCACUUUAAGCAGUGAAGAAGACUCCRUGGUUAAUACCCAYGGACGAUGACAUUAGCUGCAGAAUAAGCACCGGCUAACUCUGUGCCAGCAGCCGCGGUAAUACAGAGGGUGCAAGCGUUAAUCGGAAUUACUGGGCGUAAAGCGAGCGUAGGUGGCUUGAUAAGUCAGAUGUGAAAUCCCCGGGCUUAACCUGGGAACUGCAUCUGAUACUGUUAGGCUAGAAUAGGUGAGAGGAAGGUAGAAUUCCAGGUGUAGCGGUGAAAUGCGUAGAGAUCUGGAGGAAUACCGAUGGCGAAGGCAGCCUUCUGGCAUCAUAUUGACACUGAGGUUCGAAAGCGUGGGUAGCAAACAGGAUUAGAUACCCUGGUAGUCCACGCCGUAAACGAUGUCUACUAGUCGUUGGGUCCCUUGAGGACUUAGUGACGCAGCUAACGCAAUAAGUAGACCGCCUGGGGAGUACGGCCGCAAGGUUAAAACUCAA
rnacentral:rRNA from 1 species